rnacentral:rRNA from 1 species
UACGUAGGCAGCGAGCGUUGUUCGGAGUUACUGGGCGUAAAGAGUGCGUAGGCGGUGGCCCAAGUCUGGUGUGAAAUCUCCCGGCUCAACCGGGAGGGUGCGCCGGAAACUGGGUUGCUGGAGUGUCGGAGAGGCAGGCGGAAUUCCCGGAGUAGCGGUGAAAUGCGUAGAUAUCGGGAGGAACACCCGUGGUGUAGACGGCCUGCUGGACGACCACUGACGCUGAGGCACGAAAGCGUGGGGAGCAAACAGG